rnacentral:rRNA from 1 species
CCCUUAGAUGUUCUGGGCUGCACGCGCGCUACACUGAUGCAUUCAACGAGCUUUCGAUCUUGCCCGAGAGGGUUGGAUAAUCUUUUUAAAGUGCAUCGUGAUGGGGAUAGAUUAUUGCAAUUAUUAAUCUUCAACGAGGAAUUCCUAGUAAGCGCGAGUCAUCAGCUCGUGCUGAUUACGUCCCUGCCCCUUGUACACACCGUCCGUCGCUGCCCGGAACUGAGCCGUUUCGAGAAAGCUGGGGACUGACGGCUUGUGGGUGCGCAAGCACUUCUUGCCGACGGAAACCAGUUUAAUCGGUAUGGCUUGAACCGGGCAAAAGUCGUAACA